rnacentral:rRNA from 1 species
AUUGAACGCUGGCGGCAGGCUUAACACAUGCAAGUCGAGCGGGGGAAGGUAGCUUGCUACCGGACCCAGCGGCGGACGGGUGAGUAAUGCUUAGGAAUCUGCCUAUUAGUGGGGGACAACAUCUCGAAAGGGAUGCUAAUACCGCAUACGUCCUACGGGAGAAAGCAGGGGAUCUUCGGACCUUGCGCUAAUAGAUGAGCCUAAGUCGGAUUAGCUAGUUGGUGGGGUAAAGGCCUACCAAGGCGACGAUCUGUAGCGGGUCUGAGAGGAUGAUCCGCCACACUGGGAAUGAGACACGGCCCAGACUCCUACGGGAGGCAGCAGUGGGGAAUAUUGGACAAUGGGGGGAACCCUGAUCCAGCCAUGCCGCGUGUGUGAAGAAGGCCUUAUGGUUGUAAAGCACUUUAAGCGAGGAGGAGGCUACUUUAGUUAAUACCUAGAGAUAGUGGACGUUACUCGCAGAAUAAGCACCGGCUAACUCUGUGCCAGCAGCCGCCGCAG